GUCUUCGUGGGGUAGGAACUCACAUUCCCACUUUACAUAGAGUGACUUACGGAGAGUCGGUGGUUCGAAUCCACCCGAAGACA